AUUGAACGCUGGCGGCAUGCCUUACACAUGCAAGUCGAACGGUAACGGGCCUUCGGGUGCCGACGAGUGGCGAACGGGGGAGUAAUACAUCGGAACAUGCCCGAACGAGGGGGAGAAAGCGGCGAAAGCUUUGGAAAAACCCCGUACAAGACACGGAGGAAAAAAGGGGGCAGCAAGGCAUCUCGCGCACUUGGCGCCCCCGAUGGCAGAUUAGCUAGUUGGUGGGAUAAAGGCUUACCAAGGCGACGAUCUGUAGCUGGUCUGAGAGGAUGACCAGCCACACUGGGACUGAGACACGGCCCAGACUCCUACGGGAGGCAGCAGUGGGGAAUUUUGGACAAUGGGCGCAAGCCUGAUCCAGCCAUGCCGCGUGCAGGAUGAAGGCCUUCGGGUUGUAAACUGCUUUUGUACGGAACGAAAAGCCUUCUGUUAAUACAGGAGGGUCAUGACGGUACCGUAAGAAUAAGCACCGGCUAACUACGUG
rnacentral:rRNA from 1 species